AGAGCAUGUUCUGCAGCAGCGCGAACCACUUGGUGUGCCAUUUUGUGUUGUCGGAGCUCCGCUUGCUCAGAUAGCCCUUCCUGGCGCCGUCCUUCUUCGCCAGCAGCCCCAGAUCUCCAAGGAAUUCAGUGAGGUCACAAGCUGCCAUGGAAACAAGAGGGAACAGGCUGGAAUUGGGAAAGGUGCUGACGUCUCCAGGCACCGGAGCUGCUGAGCAGGGCGCAGCCUUCUGUCCCCAUGGCCAAACUGUGUCAGCAUCGCGUCGGCUGUGGGUGGUUGCAUCCAUCCAGCUCCUGGACAUUCCCCGUGCAUCCACCUCCUGCAGGGCCGGGGCCGACCCCUGCUCCUGUCCCAUCUCUGAGCUACAGAUGGAUCAAAGCACACGGCUGAAGGUGCUCCCCAUGAGCAGCAUGUGCUCAUUGCAGAGCACGAGCCCCAACAGCACGGCAGUGUGGGGACAGGCAGGAGGGGCUGCUCAUGGAGUGCUGCAGUCACAUUCUUCCUGGGAGCUGGCAAGGUCUUGGAUCAAAUAAAUGAUAACUUGGAAGGCAGCGCUGCCAGUAAUGCCAACACUGUGCGAAAGUGCUGGGAAGGAUGAGCACGCCCCAUUCAAAUGCAUGAAAUGUGUUCAGGGGAAGCAGAGGUGACAUUUGCAUCAUUUCUCCCCCAUGUACAGCAAUGCAGCCUGCCUGGCUGCUGGGGCUGCACAGACAGUGCUUUGUCCAGAGCUAAGAUUUCUCGUUAUUUUCAAGGCCCUUGAUGGCAGUGGGUUCUCCUCUCUCCAUGUAAGUGUUUAAUAAACAUCAAAGCAGUUCCAA